rnacentral:lncRNA from 1 species
UUUGAGAAAGGAAAAUUGCAAAAAAGACAGGUAACAAAGUUACACAAAAAAUGUUAGUUUCGUAGCCGAUAUUAACAAAUACAAUGAUGACAAAGUUUGCAAUUUGUUAAAUAAUCUCUUGUUAUUUAUGAGCACAUACAACCUUCGGUGAAAGAUUUGGUUUGCUUCCAAAUAAAAGAGUAGACCAUUAUCAUAAUUAGGGUUUUUUAACAUCAUCAAGUGGAGUCUCUCUCUCUCUCUGCCUUGGUUAUGGAACCCCAAGUCGUCGUCGAUAAUUAAUUAAGCUCUGGAAUAUAUUGUUC